UAGAAAGUGAUGUGGAUCUCAUUGCUAAUGUUUUUCCGGAAUUGCAACAAAACUUGUGUAGUGAUCAGUGAUUGUGUGCAAGAGCAAUAUUAGCACCAAGAAAUUAAAUUGUUAAUAGGAUCAACACUGACAUUUAAAAGAGGUUCAAAGAGAAAUGAAGGAAUAUUUGUAAAUGGAUACAAUUAUAGAUACGAAACUAUGUAUUUCAUAUUCAGUGGAGUUUUUAAAUUCACUAUCGGGUGUACCGUCACAUAAACUUCAAUUGAAACUAAAUGUACCAGUAACGCUUAUGCGAAAUCUAGAUGCUCCUGGCUAUGUAAUGGAACAAAGUUUCGGAUAACAAAAUUGGGACAGAACAUACUUGGUGCUACUAUUUUAACAGUUGUCGGAAUGAGAUGCACAUAUUGACAAUGAUCCGUUAUAAACUGCCGCCAUUGAAACGCCAUUCGAAGAAAAAUUUGAGGCAUCGUAAAAGAUUUGAAGAGCGUUAGAUAGAAGUUCUGAUAUAUGCAGUUAUAUAAAAUGUGUAUCGCUUAGCCAAUAACAAUGCAUUGGAAGUGCCUUUGCCAGAAUACGAUCCAAAAGCACCAUGGUUGCAACAUUAUGUUAACUCAAGAAUGAUAGAAACAAGAUUGCGUAAUGACGAGUUCAAAAUUUGUUCGUUCUGCGCAUCUACGUCACGGUUGACCAACGUAAAAUCAACUGAUUUUCAUUUCCUUGUUUUUCUUUGCAAUAAGAAUCAAUUUUGUAUUGCAGGCAUACAAAAACAUGAAUAUCAUCAAAAGUUA